rnacentral:lncRNA from 1 species
UUAUGAGCCCUAUCAUAGGUGUCCAGCAGCCCAAGCCAAGAUCCUCUCCUCAGACAUCAUACCCCUUAUGAGCCCUUCCCAUUAGGUGUCAGCAGCCCAGCCAAGACUCCCUCCCCCAGACAUCACCCCUCUUAUUGAGCCCUAUCCAUGAGGUGUCAGCAGCCCAGCAAAGACUCCUCCCUGGACAAUCCCUCUUAUUGACGCCCUAAUGCAUUAGGUGUAGAACCAGCCCGCAAAGACCUCCUCCCCUGGACAUCACCC